GAUGAACGCUGGCGGCGUGCCUAAUACAUGCAAGUCGAGCGAACGGACGAGAAGCUUGCUGCUGUGGUGUUAGCGGCGGACGGGUGAGUAACACGUGGAGAACCUACCUAUAAGACUGGGAUAACUUCGGGAAACCGGAGCUAAUACCGGAUGAUAUUAUGAGCCGCAUGGUUCAAAAGUGAAAGACGGUCUUGCUGUCACUUAUAGAUGGAUCCGCGCUGCAUUAGCUAGUUGGUAAGGUAACGGCUUACCAAGGCAACGAUGCAUAGCCGACCUGAGAGAGGGAUAGGCGACACUGGAACUGGGACACGGUCCAGACCCCUACGGGAGGCAGCAGUAGGGAACCUUCCGCAAUGGGCGAAAGCAUGACGGAGCAACGCCGCGUGAGUGAUGAAGGUAUUCGGAUCGUAAAACUCUGUUAUUAGGGAAGAACAUAUGUGUAAGUAACUGUGCACAUCUUGACGGUACCUAAUCAGAAAGCCACGGCUAACUACGUG
rnacentral:rRNA from 1 species